CCUGACUCAGCCGCAGACAUUAGUGCUAGGAAGAUGGCGCACCCGGCAAUGUUUCCUAGAAGGGGCAGCAGCAGUAGCAGCGGCAGCAGCUGCGUUACUGCUCCCACUGCACCAGGUACCGGCGUUGGGAGCGCUGCCCUCGCCGCCGAGGAUUAUCAGCCGCCUUUGCUGGUCCAGCCGCCGCCGCCUCCGUCUCCUGCAACAUCUUCAUCGGUGGGUCCACAGCCGACACCCCCUCCUCCACAAAGCCUGAACCUCCUCUCACAGUCUCAGCUCCAGCCACAGCCUCUCGCGCAGACUGGAGCCCAAAUGAAAAAGAAAAGUGGCUUCCAAAUUACCAGUGUGACCCCCGCUCAAAUAUCAGCUAGUAUGAGCUCUAAUAACAGCAUAGCUGAGGAUACAGAAAGCUACGAUGACCUGGAUGAGUCCCACACUGAAGACCUGUCGUCUUCAGAAAUCUUGGAUGUUUCUUUAUCCAGGGCCACUGACUUGGGAGAACCUGAGAGGAGCUCCUCUGAAGAGACUUUAAAUAACUUCCAAGAGGCAGAGACUCCUGGGGCUGUUUCUCCAAACCAGCCUCAUCUUCCUCAGCAGCAUGCUCCUCUGCCUCAUCACCCACAGCAGAGUGUUGUGAUCAAUGGAAGUGUUCACCCUCAUCAUGUUCAUCACCACCACCAUCUUCACCACCACCAUCAUGGACACCAUCAUCCAUCGCAUCCUGGGGUGGGCAGUGCCCCGAUUUCUGGAGGACCACCGCCCAGUCCCUCAUUUAGAAAACUAUCAACAACUGGAAGCUCUGACAAUGUUAUAUCAACUGCACCAGUUUCUGCUGCAUCAUCCACUGGUUCCCCGGCAUCAGUCGUGUCUAAUAUCCGCACUACGAGUACUCCUGGCAAUUUAGGUGUAAGUCCUGCUGCUGGAACUAGUACCUUAAAUAAUAUGGGUGGCGGUAGUUCUAGUGUGGCAAGCAGCGUGCUUGGUACUAUAAAUUUAAGCAACAUCACGAGUACUGGUAAUGUAAAUGCUUUGUCUGGAACUAGCGGCAAUGUUAAUGUGAAUAUCUUGAGUGGUGUUGGCAAUGGUACGAGUGCUUCCUCUAGUGUCAUUAACAAUGUUACUAAUCCAACUGCAGGAAUGGCAGUGGGAUCAAGCCAGCAGCAGCCUGCAUCUGGCACGUCAAGGUUUAGGGUUGUAAAAUUAGAUUCUAGUUCUGAACCUUUCAAAAAAGGUAGAUGGACAUGCACUGAAUUCUAUGAUAAAGAAAACACUGUUGCAGUUUCAGAAGGAGUAGCCGUAAACAAAGCAGUAGAGACGAUAAAACAAAACCCGCUUGAAGUGACUUCUGAAAGGGAGAGCACCAGUGGGAGUUCUGUUAGCAGCAAUGUAAGCACACUGAGUCACUAUACAGAAAGUGUGGGAAGCGGAGAAAUGGGAGCACCUACUGUGGUACAGCAGCAAGCGUUUCAAGGUGUGGGUCCGCAGCAGAUGGAUUUUAGCAGCGCUGCUCCUCCGGCAAUUCCAGCAUCUAGUAUACCACAGAGUGUUUCUCAAUCACAGCUUGCACAAGUCCAGCUGCAUUCUCAAGAAGUAAACUAUCCGCAGCAGAAGCCAGGGGUCCAACCUCCUGCACAGGCCAGUCUAACCACUGUUACUGGGGUUCAGCCAGCCCCAGUUAAUAUACUAGGUGUAUCCCCGUCUCUGGGCCACCAGCAGCCUGCCAUUCAAAGUAUGGCUCAACAGCAGCUACCGUAUUCUCAGCCGGCGCAGCCCGUGCAGACUUUGCCAGUUGUGCAGCAGCAGCAGUUGCAAUAUGGGCAACAGCAGCAGCAACAGACAGUUCCUACGCAGAUGGCCACAGGUCAUGUUAAGCCGGUGAACCAAAACUCUGUUACGGGGGCUAUGCCAGACUACAUUCAACAUCAGCAGAUCCUCCAGACUCCAGCCCCUGCCAUGCAGCCCAGCUCUACAGGAGUAGGAGCAGGGCAGCCAGUUCCUGUUGCCCAGGCACAGAGCAUGCAGCCUUCGGUACAAGCACAUCCAGCCGCUGCCCCGUCUCAGCCUGUUGCCCAUGCUCCAGCAGCCAUACCAGGUGUAGGUACCAGUGGUCAAAUGCUGAACGUUGGGCAGCAAGGAAGCGUAGCCGCUGUGGUGCAACCACCAUCUGCUGCAAACCAAAUUCCACCUCCAGUGAUGCCGUCAACAGCUGCUCCUCCAUCUUCACAAGUUGUGCAGCCUGUGCAGACAGGAAUAAUGCAGCAGGGAUUACAGGCCGGCGCUUCGGGCCUUCCUCAGCAAAUGGUCAUUGCUCAGCAAAACACCUUGUUACCUGUACAGCCGCAGGCACAAGGAGUGGAAUCUGUAGUCCAAGGGAUGACUGGGCAGCAGCUGCCUGCGGUUAGCCCUAUACCUUCUGCUAGUACUGUUCCUGCACCAAGUCAAGCUGGUUCAGCUGUGCCUCCUGGCAUACCUUCUGCUUCUAUAGGUUUGGGACAGCCACAGAAUAUAGCACAAGCUUCGUCUGUGCAGAAUGGGAAUUUGGCUCAAAGUGUUAGUCAGCCUCCCUUGAUAUCAACAAGUAUAGGUAUGCCAGUGGCACAGAGUGUGCCACAGCAGAUACCGCUCAGCUCUGCCCAGUUCCCCGCACAAUCACUAGCUCAGUCAAUUGUAAGCCAAAUCGAAGAUGGCAGGCGCCCUACAGAACCUUCCUUGGUGGGUUUACCUCAAGCUGCCAGUGGUGAGAGUGGUGUUGGAGCGUCAGCCGUUUCAGAUGGCGGUAGCAGCAACAUGCCAUCCUCUGCGUCCCUCUUUCCGCUGAAGGUGCUGCCGUUAACAACGCCUCUCGUAGAUGGUGAGGAUGAGAGAUACAGAGUGAGAGUCAAACAUUGCACACUGGUAUGCCUGUGAAGAGGCACUGCCAAAGUUUAUUGUGUCUAGUGCAAAAGCUGGGAGUUCUGGCUGAUCGCAGCAGUUCAACUGGAUGCUGGUGCAUAGAUCCUGCAGUGGGUUUGCAGCCUGCACACAUUUCUAGAGGUGGUGUUCUGUAGAAUUUACUCACAAUUGUUUAAACUUUUUUUACUGGCUAUCGAGCAGAACCACACUGAUGCACAAAAACGGGGAUCACUCUUCACUGGCUCUUGAAUUAGUGAGUAGCUAUGAAACCUCCUAUGUAGAGAAGGACGGUGAAGGAAAGCACUAAAGGGAGUUUUCCUCCCAGAAUAUCUAUCGGCAGUCAGGUCACUAUGGAAAAACACUGCAGAGAUUCUAUCCUUUGCCCAAAGGAGAUGAGAACAUUGAUUAUAGGAUUCCUUACCUUCUUCUAUAUGCUCACGAACCAGAACUACAAGUGCCUUUCCUGACUUCAUCCAUAUCUGAAGAUCAUCAACAUAAGUUGUUCUUGUGUCAUCACAGCCAUAAUUUCUUCCUGCUUCAACUAGAAGGAUCCCAUCACAACCUGCACUUGAGGUAAAUCAUCAAACUCUACGGUACAAUGACUGAGAAGAGCUGUUGUAUAUUCGACUCCUUAAGCUGUCUUAACAUCUCAUCUCAGUAGCAUGAAUCACUUCUGAUGAUUGAUAUGAGGCAACAAAAAAAACCUCUCUCCAAAAUUCCCAUAAGAGGGAUUCGGGUACUUCGAAUGGUUUAUUCUAGACCUCUUUUCCAUUCUUCUAAAUCUUCAGAAGCGCUAAGGAGUAUUUAUUAGCAUUUCUCAUGUCAAAAUGCAGAAAGAUGGAGUUGUUUCAGCCUGAAAUACGUAUCUGAAUAUAGGAAUCAAAUCAGGCUAGUAUUUGUGAUAGGACACAAAAAUUACCAAACUCGUUUAUUCUUUAGAGUUCAAGACAAGUCUGUUCAAUGGAAGAAAGAUGUAUGAAAGGAUAAAAAUUAGAAGUAAGGGGUUCUACCUUUCUUGGAAAAGAGUACUAUGACCUCGAUGCGAGUAAAGGAAUUUAAAAACAAAUUAUUCCUAACAGCAUGUUUAAGACUGAUCAUCCAGAAAUCGUUUUGUUGCUCAGAUCUUUCCAUGAGGAAAACAUUAAUGAACAAAGUCCUCAUAAAUGCUUUUUUCCCCCUUCAAUUUUACAUUGUUUCUUUGUCUCUUCUACUGAAAUGCUACAUCAAUAGAAUGAGACCAGGUAAUACACUCUUCUACAACUCUGAAAACUUCAAAAGGUGAUUUCAUAUUGUGCAGUGUAUUAAAGGUGAUCUGGAGUCUUUUUUCAGUGAAUAGGAUCUUUCCCUGGAGAAAGAGGAUUUCUCAAAGUCAGCCUUAUUUUGAUACUUCAAAGGCCCUAGGCGGAUUCCUGUUUGAAAGGAACCUGCAAUAAGCCGGGUCAGGCUGCUUCCUCUUGCUUGAUCUGCUCUGAUACCUUCUGUUACCUUGAGCUGGAAAAGAAUAUUGGCUUCAGAAGUGUUAGUAGUGUUUGUAGGCUUCAACGCAUCACUGAAAUUAAGUCUUAUAAUGCUGUAUAUGGCACUGUAGUUAUGAAUUGUAGGUAACAAGUAUUAGCAACUUGAAAAGUUGCUGACAUUCAAGGUAUUGCAAGUUACCUGAUAAAAAAGACCCUUCUAUUCACGAGGGCAUCUUAGGAAGAAAUGUGCUUUCAGUUAUACUGUCCUUUUAUGAUAGUUUCUUGGGAAGCACAGAGCAGUAAAAAUUUGUGUUGAAUGUGCUCUAUUUAUUAUAUUUUCUCUUCUUUUAUUUUUAUCUUGUAUCUUCUACCUUACUGGAAGAGGAGAAUGUAAAUGUCAUCCUGGAGACAUCUGUUGGCCAAGUACAUUUAUGUGUGUGUUGGUCAGUUAUUCUUUCCAAACAGGAAGAUUUUAUUUCACAAAAACAUACAUGUGGGAUGAAAAGACUGAACCUGACUCUCUAACCUUUGAAAGCUUAUCUGAAAUAAUCAAAAAAGCAAUGUUUUGUCAAAUUGAAAGGUACAGGAACACAUCUUGGUCUCAUGUUGUUGAAAAAUCAUGAAAUUCCACUAAAAGACAAUUAAUCCUAUUUUUUUUUCCUAUGAAAUAGUCUUGCUAUUUAGAGCAAAAGCUCUUACCUUAAAUUGAGAUACCAUCACCAUAUUCAGUGUCCUCAGAGGAACCAAGAAGCAUAAUAUCUUUCUGCAUGCCCAAGCAGUUUCUAUGGAAGAAAGUUGCUGAUUUUUCUGUUUUAAUUACUGUAGGAUAUCAGGUUCUUUCCUUGAUGGCUUUAUCUUUUACCUCUUAAAAGAAAAAAAAGAAAAAAAAGGGAAAUUUUCCUGUCCACUACUAACUGCAAAAAUUAAAGAUAACUUUUAAAAUAUACACUAUUGCUGCUGUGGUUUUAAUGACAAAACCUAGCUUUUUUUCUAACUUCUCCAUGUAUUACAUGGAGCACAAUGAAGGAAAGCUGCUUUGUGGAGAGGAAAGCUUAUUAUUAAAAGACGCAUGAGAUACCUAACUGUAUAAAGGUGUUUUGUUUAGGUGUGGGCUCUAAAGGAGAGGAUGAAGAAACACCACCAAAAUUGCCCCAAAAUGAAUUAAGUGAAAUUGCAUCAAACAUAAUGAGUGACAUACCUUCUUGGUUAACUAUUGGAUCAUACUCUACCUGGUGUCUUGAGAGCAAUGAAGAGCACUGCAGGUAAAAUGAUAGUGCCUCAUCUCAGGCGCGCAGCUCAGCAGCUACCCUACAUGCAAAUACCAGGCGCUGUUGCGCAACAGGUAUUGCAAUGGAGAAUAACCAGGAAAUGCAUACACAAGCAGCUACGCAUAUAAUUGUGUUUUAAGUCCAAUGACUUAGUUGUAUUUUGUUGCAUGUUGGCUCCGUGCUGCUGGUAAAAUUUCACAGGAGUCUAUCAGCUUUCAUGAUUUGCGAAGGAGAAAAUUUCAGUGCUCUUAUGUGUUAUAUUUUUGCUGUUCAAGUAAUGACAGUUAACUCCUAGGACAUCGAGGUUUUCAGGGAAAAGAGGAAUAUUCUAUAAAUCCAGAAACUUGGGUAGGUUCUUAGGUUCCACAGCAAUCAUAAUGUGCCUGGGCCAAGUCAGAGGUUGUCACAAGAGCAUUAAACUGCUGUCAGUGUUUGACUAAUCUGAUUUUGCGAGUAGAGUAGAAGACUUGAGUCCUUUACAGAAGAGUUGGGGGUGGGGUUAGGAAGUCAUUGGUGAGGGAAACAGUCAGGUAAGUAUGACUGUUCUUCUUAAAGAGAUUAUGGGGAGACGUUCACUGCAUUGCAAUAGAUGCUAUUUUUAAUUCACUUGAGAGAAAGUGAACAGAAGAGAGAUUUGGAUUAUUUUUUUUUCCAAGAAACGAGCACUUAAAUGUUUUUAGUUUUUUUUUUUUUCCCCCCUCCACCUACAUCUACUUGUAACAAACUGAGAGAACUUUCUGGACAAAACAUCUUAUGAUUGAUCUCAUCUAUUGGUAGAUGUCUUAAAAGUCUUGAAAGUUCAAAGCUCAACACUUUGGGUUUUUUUUUGGCAUCAGAGCAUGAAAAAACUGCAUGUCUAGUACUCAUCUCUUGUCAUCCUCCCCUAUUGCAGUGACUAUGUGUAUGUCUCUGUGUGGCAGAAAAUGAGGGAAUGCAGAUCAUUAUUCAAGAAGUUACCAACUAGCACUUUUCCUUCCCCUCCAGUCUUUCUGCCUCCCUAUCCUGGAAGUAUGGAGUCCCUGCCUCAGCCUACGGCUUCAUUCUUUUUCCAGCUGCCCACAAAAGUAAAGAACCAGUGUGAGAGUUUGAAGAAAGAAUCCGCUCAGAGGACUGAGUCUCAAGCAAAAGCUCCAGGUUGCAGACUCAGAAAGAAACUUCCUUUGGGGAAGGAUCUGCUUCCAGGAUUUGCUCGUCUCUUUUUCCUUGGGCAAACACAGUUCUUGAAGCAAACAACAGGGUUGCAGGACACCUUCUAACCUUUAUACUGCAUCACAAGCCUUCAGCAGAAGAUCUUGAGAGCCAUUUAUGUUGCUGGAAGAUGACUGGGUUUGGAUCUUGGCCUUCCUUAAGCAGGAUCUCCUGACAAAAAUGGGAUUGGGAAAGAAAUGACUCCUUUUUCCAUCACAGAGAGCCACCCUAGAAAUGAAGGCCUAGGCAGAAAAUUACUUCUAAAUGCAUCAUUCUUUAGGAAAUUUGUUUGGCUUCCCAUGGUUCUUUUGUUACAAUGUCAUAAAGAUGUCUCUUAUAAAACCUAAACCUGGCAUCUUCCUAUCUGAAGAUCAAGUCGAUAAAACCAAGUUUAAGAGUUUACAGGUCUAAUAAUGUGAUCGGAUCUUGCUGUCCCCUGCAUAGGAGAUGCCACGUGAAUCUGUGAGAGGGUUCUGCUGUGGUUCAGACUGUUAUAUUUGUAAAGCCUUUUCUACUUACAGUCCAUUUAAAUGAUGAGAAAUAAUAAAGCUUCUUGUGAAAAUGGUCUUUAAUUAGGCUUCUGCCUCUCCAAGUUUACUUAAAAAUAAAUUUGAGCCAAAAAUGUUGCAAGGGCAAUACGGGAAGUUACUGCAUCUUUUGAGGUUUCCUGUGGUUUUGUGUUGAGAAAAGGUACAUUGGAAGUGUUUGAGAGCUAUGAAAGUGGAAAAUCUUAGAUUUUUCUUUAAGAGUGAAAAGUUAUUUGUUAGAAAGCAGAAAGCUUUAAUUGUUUACCCCCUAAGGGAUUUCUAUAGUCAAACUUAAUUAAAUAUCUUGCGAGAUCUCAAAUAAAAACCUUAUGUUUGGCAGUAGUGAACAACACACGCGCAAGCCCGUGUGCUCUUUUCUUUUUGCUAUAGGAAAUUAGUUUUAAAGAACAGGACUUACUUUUAAUGUUCAGAUUAGGAAACGGGAAAGCUUUGUUCUGAAGCUGAGCGUGAAAAGGGGUGGCAGGAGGGUGAACUGGACCCUCUGGCAGUAGGUGAAGAGCAGUUUUAUUUUCCUGUUUUCUGCUUCAGGCAGUUGGAGUAAACUAGUCAGAUGCUUGUGCUUGAAUCCAAUUAAUUUCUUAAAUCAGUUACCACAAAACAUUGUUUUCUAACUAAUGCCUAGAUCUCUCAUUAAAUUCACCAGUGUAUUUAAAUUGUUGAACAGUCUUAACAUAGCCCUGAGGCUACUGCUUCAUGGCAGUUGAGACUUCUUACUAUGCUGGAAUGCGUUGCAGUGUUAGUACAUUCUAAAAAUAAUUGUUCAGAUGGUGCUAUUUAAGUACAUACUUAUGUAGUGAGCCAUUUUCACUGGACUUCCUGAAAUUUGGCUAUCUGUUGGAUGGCUUUUUAAUAGCCUUUUUUUGCUGUGAAUAUCAAACUUUGUCUUGCUGCUUCUGGGGUUAUUGAGUAAAAUGCUAAAUUUAUAACCUGGUAUUUUUAGAAAACUGAUAGUCAGAUCCAUGUGUUAAACUAAGCAACCACAGUAACACUUGUGAACUUUGAAAUUUAAAGAGAAAGCGCUUUAAUGUAUCAAAUUAAAUAUGUGGAAAUAUGUAUGUGGUGACCUUAAAAUUGAGUAGUUAUUAUAGGUACAGACAUGAAUUGUGUGCUGAACAGGAGUAAUCUAGAAGUUAUAAGCUGAAGAUCUGUUGAGUCUCAGAAAUAAAUACUAACAUCUGUGGCAAGAGUUCUGUGCCAGCAGUGCUUUUAGUUGAAAAUACCUGUUGUUCUAACUUCUAGCCCGUUUAAGGUUUGGUAUCUUUUGUGCCUUAAUAGGUAUAUUCGUCUCAGCCACAGUUUUUGGUCGUUUUGUCCUGUAGUAUAAAGUAAACUUAUGACCAUUAAAUACUUAUGAACGCUCAAUACUUACAGUAAAAUAACAGGGGCACUGGGAACUGUUUCUAAUGUUAUUGUCUCAGUUACUACAAUUACUUUACUUCCCCCUCCUCUUCAUAGUCACAAUUAGGAAAAAAAAAAACAACCAAAACAACAAAAAAAGCCCCCAAGCAAACAAAAAAAAAACCCCAAAAAACCAAACCAGAAAACCUGUUGCUAUUCUGCAGUCAGUAUUUUGAUACUUCUUGUCUGUCAGCGUUGUGUUAGCAUAUUAUGAUCAUGCUCUGAGUUUUGCAGCUGGAAUCCUUGGUUCUUGGUACAUCUUUAGAGCAAUAACUCCUGCCUUUGUGUUAUUUAAUA